rnacentral:rRNA from 1 species
UACGUAGGGUGCAAGCGUUAAUCGGAAUUACUGGGCGUAAAGCGUGCGCAGGCGGUUUUGUAAGGCCGAUGUGAAAUGCCCGGGCUUAACCUGGGAACUGCAUUUGUGACUGCAUGGCUAGAGUUUGGCAGAGGGGGGUAGAAUUCCACGUGUAGCAGUGAAAUGCGUAGAUAUGUGGAGGAACACCGAUGGCGAAGGCAGCCCCCUGGGUCAAGACUGACGCUCAUGCACGAAAGCGUGGGGAGCGAACAGG